AUCCUGUUUUCUGCAAGACAUGGAAGAACAGCGUGAUACCAAUAACAUGGUCUAAAGGUAACAUUGUCAAAUUACCGGAAAAGAAAGAAAUAUCACAGACUGUAACAACUGGAGAGGUAUUACUUUACUGCAAGUAAGAUCUUUUGUAAAAUAAUUGUACACAGUAUUAAGACAGCGUUGAUGAACAAUCUAAAGGAAGAACAGACGGACUUCAGAAAAGGAGAAAGUUGCUGUGACCAAAUUUAUAUAUUAAGAAACAUAAUAUAAAAAUGCACAAAAUGGCAAAGACAACUCAUCAUAAAUUUCAAUGACUUUGACAAAGCUUUUAAUAGUAUUCACAGUGACAGUAUAUGGAAAACCCUAAUGUACUAUGGUAUAUCAUCUAAGAGAGUUGUUAAAUGCACUUUUGGUAUAGCUCCUCAAACAAAAACUUUCUUGUGAAAUCAGGAGUGAGACAAGGAUGUGUGAUGUCAGCCUUAUUAUUCAUCGUAGCAGUAGACUGGAUAAUGAGAUAAACCCCCAGUGAAGAAAACACAGAUAUCAAAAGCACAUCACAAUGUACAUAAUUUGGAAGUGUAGUGACAUCAGAGGUCGAUGCUGUCAAGGAAAUAGUAGCAAGAUUAGGUAAAGCCAGAGGAUUCUUUGUCAAGCUUAAGCGUUUCUUGAAAUCUAACAGCAUCAGUAGACGCACCAAGAUCGAGCUAUAUAAGAACUGCAUACUAUCUGUCUUAAUGUAUUGCGCUGAAUGCUAGAGGAUGACAUAAAGUGAUAUAAACAAAUUAUCAAAUGCAAGUUUUCAUAAUGUUUGCUAUAUAAAGAUCUUGAUAAUAUUCUGGAAAGCAAAAAUUACCAACAAAACGAAAUAACGAAAACAACAGAUAUGAGGACAUUACUUAGAAAAUACAGAUGGAGAUGGGUUGGUCAUGACUUAAAAAUGUCAGAUAACGAUAACACAAGAGUGACACUUAAAUCGACCCUAGAAAGGAAAAGAAGGAAAGUCUGGCCAAGAACAACAUGGAGGCGAACCGUCGAAAAAGUACUUAAAGACAUGAAUCUUAACCAUCUUACCUGGGGAGAGGAGGAAAGGCUGGCCAAGAACAAAGAAUGGAAAUCCCUGGUCCUUGUUCAAUUUGCCUCCGAGUGCAACAAGGACUUGGUAGGAAACGGGAUAUUAACAAUUUGAUCACGAUUUUAUGAAAAGAAGAUGAAUGGAACAGGCGAAUCAAAUGCCUUUUAAUUAAUGUAUACGAAAGUAAUCAAACGGCACAUCUAGUGUUUCUUUUU
rnacentral:sRNA from 1 species